UACGUAGGGACCAAGCGUUGUUCGGAUUUACUGGGCGUAAAGGGCGCGUAGGCGGCGUGGUAAGUCAAUUGUGAAAUCUCCGAGCUUAACUCGGAACGGUCAAUUGAUACUGCUGUGCUAGAGUGCAGAAAGGGCAAUCGGAAUUCUUGGUGUAGCGGUGAAAUGCGUAGAUAUCAAGAGGAACACCUGAGGCGAAGGCGGGUUGCUAGGCUGACACUGACGCUGAGGCGCGAAAGCUAGGGUAGCAAACGGG
rnacentral:rRNA from 1 species